rnacentral:lncRNA from 1 species
GAAAUGGUUGGUUAUGAGUAUAAUCAUAAUUAUUACUUCCAACUCCAACAGAUAUAUAACGAAUCAUCUUCUUGACUUGACAAAAUCGCAUUGCCUCCUUCUCUACGAGCAUAGUCCUUCCCUAUGGCACCAAUUCCUGGUCCUGCGCGCCUACUCCCAUGGUCCUCAUCUUGUGAACUUUGUCAAAGUAAGAAAUGUAAGGUCCAUUAUUCCUUGCCUGUCCAUAGUAUUUAGAAGAAAAAAGAACUUACCACUUGAACGCUACAAUACAAAGCAAACUAAGGAUGACUAAUUUUACAAGAGGAAACACCUUGAAUCCCCUUUGUGUUUUUUUCCUUUUUUUUUUUUAAUCACAUCGAUAUUUUUGAUAUUUUAGCGAUAUUAUAGCGAUAUUUGUAAUAAAAUAUUUCUGAAGUGUGAGCGAAAUUAUCGACGUCGAUAUUUUUUAAUAUUAUCGUCGAUAUUCUCAAUAUUUAUACGAUAUGUGCAUGGAUAUGUUUCGAAAUAUUCGUGAUUCGAAAAAACGAUAAUAUCCUCGAUAUUUUAGACUAGUAUGAAUAAUAUCAAUUAUCUGUUCUAUCACAUUUUGUUUGGUGCUCUUUUUGUUGUCUUGAUUUGUCUAAAGUGUGAUAUAAACAGAUUUUUAGGAUCCUUGAAUCUCAUUGUCGGCCCCACUAAUCUUGAAAGAUUGAAUAAAACUAUAGUAGAAGAAAGAAAUUUUUGAUCUGGUGAAUCCAUUUUGUCUGCGUGCCUGCCUGAUACAUCGGUAUCAUGAUGAAAAUGGCAGGAAAUUUCAGUACCAACAAGAAAGAGAAAUUGGAAGGAAAUUUUCAAGCAAAGUUGGCGAAAAACAAUGGAUUUGUACUUGUUGGGGAAAUGGGGGGUAGGAAGGAAUUAUGAUUUUUUUUAUUUAUGUGCGCAGUGGUGGGCAGUGGGCAGUUCGUGUCGUACAGGUAACGUGAAAGGAAAACCAAAACGAACAAGAUCAAUAAUCACGUGAUUCAAAUCCCCGACAUUGCCAUGUAGCCACGUGUUAAUUAUGGAUUGGAGGCCACUCACGAGAAAUACUAGAGUGUGACCGCAAAAGUCGUCGGCUUUGUCGUCCGCACCGUCAACGAGUUCCUUCCUACUAAAUCCCUACCUCUAUGGAUUGAGAAUUUUCGUUGAGAGAGAUUCCCCAAAGCAACAGCUUAUAAAAUAAAAUAUUAAUUAAUUAAUAAUUAAGCUACAUUUAAACAACGUGACUGACAGGUCUUUGGCUUGGCCCCACCGCAC